UACAGAGGGGGGCAAGCGUUAUUCGGAAUUAUUGGGCGUAAAGGGCGCGUAGGCGGCCUUGCAAGUGACGGGUGAAAUCCCUCGGCUUAACCGAGGAACUGCCUGUCAAACUGCGUGGCUUGAGACCAGGAGAGGUGAGUGGAAUUCCCAGUGUAGCGGUGAAAAUGCGUAGAUAUUGGGAGGAACACCAGUGGCGAAGGCGGCUCACUGGACUGGGUACUGACGCUGAGGCGCGAAAGCGUGGGGAGCGAACGAGG
rnacentral:rRNA from 1 species